rnacentral:rRNA from 1 species
UGCCUAACACAUGCAAGUCGAACGGCAGCAUGAUGUGUAGCAAUACACAUUGAUGGCGAGUGGCGGACGGGUGAGUAAUGCAUAGGAAUCUGCCGAGGUGAGGGGGAUAACUGAGGGAAGCUUCAGCUAAGACCACAUGAAGUCUACGGACCAAAACAGUGGGACCUUCGGGCCACUGGCACUUUGAUGAGCCUAUGCCGGAUUAGCUAGUUGGUAGGGUAAAAGCCUACCAAGGCGAAGAUCCGUAGCUGGUCUGAGAGGAUGAUCAGCCACACUGGGACUGAGACACGGCCCAGACUCCUACGGGAGGCAGCAGUGGGGAAUAUUGGACAAUGGGGGCAACCCUGAUCCAGCAAUGCCGCGUGAGUGAAGAAGGCCUUCGGGUUGUAAAGCUC